rnacentral:rRNA from 1 species
CUGGCCUUGACAUCCUGCGAACUUUCUAGAGAUAGAUUGGUGCCUUCGGGAGCGCAGUGACAGGUGCUGCAUGGCCGUCGUCAGCUCGUGUCGUGAGAUGUUGGGUUAAGUCCCGUAACGAGCGCAACCCCUAUCCCUGGUUGCUAGCAGGUAAUGCUGAGAACUCCAGGGAGACUGCCGGUGACAAACCGGAGGAAGGUGGGGAUGACGUCAGGUCAUCAUGGCCCUUACGGCCAGGGCUACACACGUGCUACAAUGGCGCGUACAGAGGGCUGCCAACUCGCGAGAGUGAGCCAAUCCCUUAAAACGCGUCGUAGUCCGGAUCGGAGUCUGCAACUCGACUCCGUGAAGUCGGAAUCGCUAGUAAUCGCGAAUCAGAAUGUCGCGGUGAAUACUUUCCC